GGAAGGGGCUCCAAGGAGCAAAGAAUGGCGGCGAGGCGCUGCCGGGAGCAGCAGAAGGCAGCGAGGAGAAGCCGUGAAGCUGCAGAGCGGCGGAGUUGUCUUUUCUCCUUGCCAGGCUUGAAUCUUCCUUCCGCCUUGCUGUGCUGUGGGGAGCAGCUGGAGGCGAUUCUCUUGCAUGAGCGAGGGGUGCAGCCUGGUUCCACCCGGCCCUGAGCUCACGGAAGGGCUGGCUGCCCGCAGGGAAGGAGCUCUGCUUGAGCUCUGCUCCUGGGUGGGCUUUUGUGUGCCCUGUUCCUCAGGAAGGGGUAAGCAGUGCUGGGGUUAUUUGCUAGAUGGAGUGCGUUUGUGUUUCUUGGCUUCCUGAAAGCUGUGUCUGUCUUUUUCACUGCCGGCUGGAGAGACUCGGGGGAGAAAGCGUUGUGCUUGAUGGCACGGUUUCCUUGGGCAAAGGAUGCUUUGGCAGCAGAGGUUUGCUGUCAGGAGGCAUGAAAGCACUGAAGCCAAUGCUGCCGUGCCCUGGGCCCAGAGACAUCAUCUCCCAGCACGUCCCUGGCGGUGGAUGUGUGCAAGCUCUGUGUCUGCCAGUGGUUGCUCCAAAGGCUUUGUGGUCAGCUGUGCGUGGCUGUUUUGCUCUUGAGGGCGUGGGAACAGAGGGCAACACGCUGAUGGGAGUGAUGGUGUCCUGCUCAGCAAUGGAUGUGCUGGGUGGCAGAAGAGGAUUCUUGGCCGAGCGUGGAAAAUCUCUCUGCUCCUUCCUGAAGGACGCAAUCUUCCACUUGGAAAGGGCCUCCCAAGGAUCCCUGGUAUCCUCUGAGAGCUCUGAGCUGCCGCACC
rnacentral:lncRNA from 1 species